AUUGAACGCUGGCGGCAUGCCUUACACAUGCAAGUCGAACGUGAAAGGGGGGCAACCCCCGAGUAGAGUGGCGGACGGGUGAGUAACACAUCGGAACGUACCCAGUAGUGGGGGACAACCUCGAGAAAUCGAGGCUAAUACCGCAUACGACCCACGGGUGAAAGCGGGGGACCGCAAGGCCUCGCGCUAUUGGAGCGGCCGAUGUCCGAUUAGCUUGUUGGCGGGGUAAGAGCCCACCAAGGCGACGAUCGGUAGCUGGUCUGAGAGGAUGAUCAGCCACACUGGGACUGAGACACGGCCCAGACUCCUACGGGAGGCAGCAGUGGGAAUUUUGGACAAUGGGGGCAACCCUGAUCCAGCCAUGCCGCGUGCGGGAAGAAGGCC
rnacentral:rRNA from 1 species